CUCCUCCCAUCUAUCUAUUUCAUCUGCCGCACUCUCAUUCAAAAUUUUCCCAACCACCUCUCUCUCUCUCUCUCUCUCUCUCUCUCUCUCUCUCUCUCUCUCUCUCUCUCUCCCCUAUAGAUCCAGAGCAACCAUGGAGGAGCGGCAGCAUGGAACCAACGCUGGAUCUAGAGCAACCAUGGAGGAGUGGCGGCAUGGCACUAACGCCGGUGUCUAGGAAAGGUGGUGUUGCAGUGGACGAGCAGCACAUCGGCAACCUCGGUGGUGGAGUGCGACCCUGCUGCUACCAUGACGAGGAGGUACAUGUUGGAGCCAACGCAGGAGGACGGCCCUUGUGCUACCGCGCGGCGCUUCCCUGCUACCGUCAUCCUGCAGCGAGGAGGCUGAGGGGAGAUCUAGCGGGAGCUCAGUUCAUGGUUAGCAUUUUCUUCUCAUGGUCUAUUUUUUAACCCUUUGUCUCCUUGCUUCAUGCUUCAUGCUUGAUAAUCCGAUUCUACUUUUUGUGCAGCUGUUGCAGUGAUAUUGAUUUGGAUGGCCGCAAAUUAUUUUGGUGAUUUGAUGCUGCUGAAUAAAGAUUUAAAAAAUGUAAUGUAAUAGUAAGGUGUAACAUAUAGAUCUCGAUGUACAAUUGAAUAUAAAAGAUUACUUUUGUUUGUGAUUUGUUUGCUUCGUGAAUUUUAGUACAUUUGAGAUGUGAAUUGUUGCACAUUUGAGAUUAUAAUAAAGUCAUAACUGAUACAAUUAUAUUUGGCACUAUAAAAUGUAAUAUUAAAUAUUUAAAUAAAGAACUAUGCCAAUAUUUCCCUACCAUUCAUGUACCCUAGGGAAACUUGCUUUACAUGUUGCAUACAACAC
rnacentral:lncRNA from 1 species